GUGAGCACUAAGCCCAGCCUCCCACCCUCCAGGCGGUGGGCGGGUUGGAGACCAGGACUGGGAAGUCCAGGGUGGGCGGGAGGGAGGUGGCCGGGUGGGGGGAAUGGGGAGCCGGAAUGGGGUUGUCGGGCUGGGGCGAGGGCAGGAGGCAAUUUAUGUGGAGACAGGUGUUCCGUUGAAGUUUCCACCCUGGGCUGCAAGGGAGCUCCAGAAUAAGCAGUUUAGGAGGCCGAAGGGACGCAGCAAGGCCCGCGGCCAAGGCUCACCCGGCCGCGCCGCCGCCUGCAGGGGUUGGCCGCCAGAGCUGCCUUGCAAGGGGACUCAGGUGCAGAGAGAGGAGAAACUGUGGAUGCCCUGGAAUGGGCUCAUUGUGAUUGGGAAGAAGAUAGAGCCCCUGGAAAGAAACACGCCAAAGCCUAGAAUGGGGGACCCGAAGCUUGAGCCUGAGGACUGGAGACCAGAGGGCGUGGGAAAGAUGGUGUUGAAAGAGAAAUUAGAAGUGAGUCAGGAGGAGAUAGAUGGGAAGGGACCGCAGAGCCCAGCAAGUCCAUCACAGGCUUCUCCAGAUCUGGGGAAAGAGGGCCCAGGGGAGAGUGAGGAAAAGCAAGAGGCCAGAGGGAAAACUGGGGCCGAAGCUAGUGCGGAGAUGAUAGCAGAGUCUAGAAGGGAGAUUAUGUCUGAAGAGAGGCCAGAGAUGACGGCAGAGACUAGGAGGGUGUGUGCGUCUGAAGAGAGGUUGGGGCCCACGGUCUUGAAAGAGAAGUCAGAAUUUAGUCAGAAAGAGAUAGACGAGAAGGAACUGCGCAGCGUAGGGAGUGCGUCACAGACCUCUGCAGAUAUGGGGAAAGACAGCCCAAGAGAAACUGAGGAAAAGCAAGAAGUCAGAGAGGAAACUGGGGCUGAAUCUGGUGUGGAGGUGAUAGAAGAAUCUAGGAGGGAAUCUGUGUCUGAAGAGAGGUUAGAGGUGAUAGAAGAAUCUGGGAAGGAAUCUGCAUCUGAAGAGAGGCUGGAGGUGACAGAGUCUAAGAGGGGAUCUGUGUCUGAAGAGAGGCUGGAGGUGACAGCAGAGUCUAGGAAGGAGUCUGAAGAGAGGUUGGGUUCUAUGGAGGACAAGGUAGGGACCAGUGGAGAGGAUAUGAGAUCCAGAGGGGAUCAACUGGGACAGGAUGAAGAGCUGAGAUCAAGUGGAGAGAGUCUGGAGUACAAAAGAGAGAAACGGAGGCCCACUGGAGAGAAGCGGGCACCCAUUAGAGAAAGGCGUAGGUCCAUUAUAGAGAAGCCUAUGUUCAGGGCAGAGAGGUGGGGGUCCACAUUAGAGAAGCCAAUAUUCAAGGGAGAGAGGCGGGGGUCCAUUUUAGAGAAACCGGUGCAUGGGGGAGAGAGGCGGGGGUCAGUUAUAGAGAAGCCAGUAUUCAGGACAGAGAGGCGGGGGUCCACUUUUGAGAAGCCCAUGUACAGGACAGAGAGGCAAGGCUCCACUUUUGAGAAGCCAGUAUUAAGGGGAGACAGGCAGAAAUCCAGUGCAGAUAAGUCAAAGAUGCAUCGAGAGAAACUAAGGCUCAACAGAGGAAAUUUGAGAACUGGUGAUAAAAUGGUGUCAGGUGUGGAGGAAUGGGGAUCUAGCGGGGAGAAUUUGGAGGACGGUUCAAGAAUGGAAAGUGUAAGUGAAGAGAACAUUGUAAGAAUACAAGAAGCUACUAGUGAUGAAAAAGUGAUAGAAGUUACCAAUGAGAAGAUGGAAAUUCCUUUUGAGAGUGUGGAAGAGAGAGAUGAAAAGCUAGAAGAGACUGAGGAAAGAGAAGUUGACGAAGAUGCCUUGCAUGAAACAGAAGAUAUUACUGGUGGAUCUAUUUCUAUGGGUGAGAAGGACAUGGUAGAUGAAAUAGAUGAAGAGCCCAGUGAAUAAGGCAGUUGAAAGAUUGAAGCCGAGAGAGUAUUGAAAAUAAAAGAGGAAAACUUAGAGUUAAGCACAAUGUUAUUGAUACUGAAGGGGUAAAAAGAGAGAAAAGGAGAAUCUGAGGCAAAAAGAAGAGUGGGAAUUGAAACAGUUACUGGGCAUGAAGCGGGGCCAUUACCAAGGAAAGCCAAGAAGAGAGGGAAAUGGAAGCGUUUUAAGAAGGAAGACAAGAUUGGGUAAUGAGUUUAUGGGUAAAGGAAAAUUGGAUAUGGGGUUCUUGAAAAGCUAUUUGAGAAGUGAACUACAGGUGGGCUAGAAGAAUUUCAUCUGAACAUGAUUGGGUGUACCAGAUGGAGAAGAAUGCCUAGUGAGGAAAAGCAGGAUGAGAACAGCGUAAAGGACAGAUAUUGAGGGCUUGAAGAAGAAGCAGGUUGAAGUGACCGAAAUACCUGAAAGUGGAUCCUGAAAAAUGACAGGCUUCAAAGUGACAGGAGAGGAAAUGAGCACAUUAAGAUGUGGGAGAAAAAAAAUCUCCCCAAACUCAGUUUCCUGGCUGCCAAAGCAAGCUCUGCACUUCUGCCUGGGGGUUGGGAUGAAGCUAUGAAACAACCCUUCCAUUCAUUCAGUGAAUGCUGUGGAAAAAGUGCUUCCACGAUUUCUGGAUGACAUUUUCACCUGGGAUAUCAGAUGCAUUCCAUCAAGGCCACAGAUGGACAAAUGAAGAUCAAGACAUGGUGACAAAUGCCAGCUACUUUGCUAGCGAACCUGAAAAGCCUUUUGCCCAGCAGAGGGCAGUCACAAACUUGGCUGGGAGAAGGAGACCUGCAGGCUCGCGCGGAUCGGCCCAGCAUGCACUCAGCGUCCAGCAGAGGGCGCGUGCGUGCCAGUGUUAACCUUGAUGCUUGCUUGUUCCGUAAUCCAGCUGUGGAACAACAAAUCAGAGCAAGCCACCGAGUCCUCUUGAGAGCUGAUGACCAAGUCUCCAGGCUGGCAUGGAUCAGAAACGGAGGAGAAUAUUGAAGCAGCAUCCCAAAUAUUAGUUCUGAAAAACAAAUGGAUACGGAAGAACAAACGAGCACCUUGAGAUCCAACCAUGGCCCAAAGAGGCUGCAGAUGAGUUGCCACGCCCUGAGGUGCCUCUCGGGGAGCCCUGGAGGCUCUGACUGACUGGAGUCACAUGUCGGACAGGGUUGCUGACAGGGUGUUUGCUGUGCUCGUCAUCCUGGAUUGAACCCUGAGGUGCUCUACCACAUCCUGAGCUCUGUUUAUUUAAUUUUGAGACAUGGUCUCACUAAUUUGCCAGAUUGGGUUUGAACUUGUGAUCCUUCUGCCUCAGCGUCCUAAGCAGUUCCUGUCUGCAGGCCUGGGGUGGUGCCCAAGACCACAGAAGGAAUGCUCCCGACACAGUCACACAUGGUCCUGUUGGUUGGAGUUGGUCAUUCCUGACCUUGACAUCAACCAUCUUAAUCUCCAGAAAUAGGCUAAAUGCUAGUCCGGCCACUUGUGUCUCUUCAUCAUCUCCAGGGCGACUGCAUAUUUCCAGCCUCUGUGCUCCAGGAUCUAAUAAUAGGUGGGAUGAAAAGACUGUUUCCUCUGAUGCACUUUUAUGAGAUGUUUUCAAAGAGGAUGCGGUGGGGGAAUGGAUAAGCUGCUCGCUCAGUACAGUGAGGCGUCAGAAUGACGGGGCAGGGAAGCCCCACCUUCCCAGGGAGCUCUUGCUCAAGACAGCCCAGUUGUUAGAGGGCCAGGAAUCCGGGAACAUCAAGGCAGCCUCAGACCUUGUAACCUAGAUGUCAUUGUGCUUUUCAGGCAAUGAUGCCUGAUCACUGCAGGCA
ensembl:lncRNA